CCUACGGGAGGCAGCAGUGGGGAAUAUUGGGCAAUGGGCGCAAGCCUGACCCAGCAACGCCGCGUGAAGGAAGAAGGCUUUCGGGUUGUAAACUUCUUUUAAGAGGGAAGAGCAGAAGACGGUACCUCUUGAAUAAGCCACGGCUAACUACGUGCCAGCAGCCGCGGUAAUACGUAGGUGGCAAGCGUUGUCCGGAUUUACUGGGUGUAAAGGGCGUGCAGCCGGGAAGACAAGUCAGAUGUGAAAUCCACGGGCUCAAACCCGGAACUGCAUUUGAAACUGUUUCUCUUGAGUGUUGGAGAGGUAAGCGGAAUUCCUAGUGUAGCGGUGAAAUGCGUAGAUAUUAGGAAGAACACCAGUGGCGAAGGCGGACUACUGGACGGUAACUGACGGUGAGGCGCGAAAGCGUGGGGAGCAAACAGGAUUAGAUACCCCGGUAGUC
rnacentral:rRNA from 1 species